rnacentral:rRNA from 1 species
AUGCCCAGAUCUGAACCGAGGGAACAACGGACGGGGAGUGAGCGGUACCUCCAUGGUGGUGACGGUGUCCAUGUCGGCGCCGGUGGUGGCGGGGCGGCCGAUGCGGCUGGCCUCCUGGUAGAAGCGGAAGACGAGCUCCGGGGACUGGUGGAGGAUGUUGUAGUACUGCUGCACGAAGGCGUUGCCCACCUGGAAGACGAAGACCGUACACGAAUCGGGUCAGGGCAGAUCGAGUCAGCUCGGCAACGGACGGAUCGGGAGGCAGGGAGAGUCGCCAGCUUACCACUUGCGCCGGCGGCGUCGGUCCUGGCGCCGCGGCGGGGGCGGGGGCGGGAGCGGCGGCGGGCGGAGGCGUCGGCGCGGCCAUCGUAG